rnacentral:sRNA from 1 species
AAACGCUAAGGGGGCUUCGGACGCGCUGGAGCUUGAGAGGUCAGAGAGGGUCCUUGCCCCCAGCCUGGGACUCCGGAGUUGCGUUUCUACCCGUGCUUCAGGGUCUAGUCCAGCCGAAUCCGCGUCGGGCUGUAACUCGAAUGCCAGGUUUCUGUAUACAUAGCCUUCAGGACUGCUUUUGGUGGAAAGAGAUAGCAGGUGGUGCUAAUUCACGGUGUUGGUGGGAACUCUGGCUACACUGAAAGGUUUGAAAAAGUUAUUCUGUAAACUGACUAGAAUCAGGUGCUUUUGUUUCUGAAGUGCUUUUGUAAGUGUCCUGAGUUUCUUUUCUGAAUUCUUAAUUUCUUAUUGACUUAGUUUAAUUUUAUUUAGGAUUUCAAAUUUAUAUGGGACAAUAUCUCUACCUUACAAAAAAUGUGCAAGUGAUGCUGAUUAUAAUUCCUUUAAUCCUAAGGAAAGAGCUUGGGAUAGAGCUCCCUAAGCCUUUUUUGCCUGCAAAAGAAUCUAAGCAGAUGGUGGGGUUGCUGUUUAAAUACAAUUGCCAAUGAAAAACUAUAAUCUAUUGGCUUUCACAAUAAAGUU